rnacentral:rRNA from 1 species
UACGGAGGGUGCAAGCGUUGUUCGGAAUUAUUGGGCGUAAAGGGCAGGUAGGUGGUCUUAAAAGUCUACUGUGAAAUCCCCGAGCUUAACUUGGGAAGUGCGGUAGAUACUCUAAGACUAGAGUGCUGGAGGGGUUCGUGGAAUUCCCGGUGUAGCGGUGAAAUGCGUAGAUAUCAGGAGGAACACCGGUGGCGAAGGCGCUCAUCUGGCCCAAUACUGACGCUGAUGCGCGAAAGCUAGGGGAGCAAACGGG